ACCAAACAGGACAGGUUAAUGAUCAAGGUGAUCCGGGUUCCCACUUUUGUCCAUUUUCUUGACUGCUACUUCAUCUUAUUCCCCCUCGCUACUGUCUCCACACUCUCCCCUGUGUCUAAUUUGUGCUUUGACUGUGUUCUGUAAUUGAGGGAGUGGGAAACCGUCUUUCACACCAUUCAUCUUUUACAGAUGAGGCCCCAGAUUGGAUCCCGCGAGCGGGACUAUGAAUGAUGCAUGGAAAGAGAAAUGGAGACGCCGCUCCGUGUGUUUUCAUACCACUAAAUAUUUAAUUGAGAGCUUCUUAGUCAUCGGUUGGGACGUUACGGAUGUGAUUGACACCUCAGACAACUCGCGGAGCGGUGCAUGUCGUGCGUAUCGAGGGACAUGUAAGUCAUUCACUCUCGCCAAUUGUGAUGAAUUGUCGAGAGCUACUGCGAGAAUUUGUCGCUCGAGAUCGCAAAGUGCACCGAUGAGCUUAUAUAAGUGAGCGGCUCAAAGGUAACAACCACCGAUCAAGCAAGAACAAGCGCAAGCUUUACACUUCAACUUUCGUGAAAACAGAGCGCAACUUUCUCGAGAGUUGGACCCUCAUGGUGCCUGGGAUGGAUUUACAAGUAUGAAAAAAGGUCAGAUUGGGGACGGCGUUGGAAAGGAUACCGUGUUUGUUAAGAGAACGGAAACGUUUUACUGGACGAACGCUUACUUUGAGCUCUUAUGCCUGACAUGUUUGUCUAAGAAUUUCAGCUUGGUUCAACGUCAUUGAGUAAAU